rnacentral:lncRNA from 1 species
GUUUGAGUGGUUUCCUCUGCUUUGCAUGGUGACUGCUUGGGAGCAUCUGGCUGCUGGCUGUCCUGUUCUGAAGGGUUAAGGACAACUUUACUCACAGCAGGGGUGUUUGGAAAGUUCUGAAAGGGUGGGCCUGGCUGGCCUCCUGGCCCUGCCCAGGACCUCUCGGGGUCUUUCCCUGCGGUGUCUCCAGGAGGGAAGUCAGAUUCCCACCUGUGGCUCAGGGCUCCCAGAAGGAGGGUCCCCAGACAGAAGUGGAACCUGCUGGUCUCGGGUGGCCUGAAUGGGCCCAGCAUCCAUCUUGCCAUAUUCUGUAGGUCAGGGCAGUACAGGAGUCCAGCUGGAUUCAGGGAGGGGCCAUAGACCCCACCUCUUAGUGGAAGGACAGCCAAAGAGCAGGUGGCCCUCCUGGAUGGGCCACUCCUAGGGCAGACUCAUUAGAGCACAGGUCUCAUGAGAACCCCAGUGCGUUCCCUCCCUUCUUACUCCUCCUACUCUGUUCUGCUGCUCUGAAGGCCUCUGACAUGGAGGUGGCAAUAGAAUGUGAGAAAGAGGAGCUGGUGCCCUGCCCACGGCUUGCCCCGCCAGCACCGACUGUCCCUGGGCAGAGGUAAACAUGCAGAGCCACACCCACCAGAAUGUUGAUUGGCAUCUCUGUUUGAGUCCUUUGAAUGGGUGCCUGGCCCUCCAGUGCCCUUUCUGUAAUUCCUGUCCACCAGGGGGUCCCCGGAUGUUGUUGGGGUGUGGUGCUUCAGCUACUCAGUUUAAAUUAGACCUUGGUCCAGAGGCUCUGAGUGGAUACUGCUCAUCCCAGAGCUGCUGGAGCGUCAGGAGGCUCAUCUUUACAGAUGUGCCAACUGGGGACCAGAGCAGGGAAGGUACUGGGUGUGGUGGGGGCAGGCCUAGAACCUAGGUCACCGCAGCUGUCCCCACGGUCUGGUCACCUGAGCCAGGGGCUGGGCGGGAGGUGAGGACAUACACUGCCGUGGGACCUGGGCCAUCAAUCCGUCACCACCUCUGACCAGCCUGAGAUGCUGAGCGUGUUAUUCUCUGAGCCUCAUUUUCCUCAUCUGUAAAAUGAAUGUGAUUCAACCUACUACCACGUGCCUGGGGACAGUAAUAUGCCCCAACUUGACGUGGGUUCCACCAAAUGUUGGUUGAAACUGAAGACAUGACGGAUGGAAUGGAGAGAGAA